CACUGUACUAUUGCUUUUCAGGAAAAUAUCUCGAAAAUGUUUAAAGCUACGGAUAAAGAUAAUUCUGGCACCCUAACCAUAGAGGAAUUCCAAGAUGUAAUUGAAGAUGUCAUCAUCAGAUAGCCUCAAGUGGAACUAUAUCUAAAGAACAAGCAUCUAUUUGAUGUAGCUGGCUUACUAAAAGAUACAGAUGGUAGUGAUAGGCUGGAGGUAGAUAUUGAAGGGUUCAAAUUAGCACUAUCGCAUGUUGAUACACAGAUGAAGAGUCAUCCAGCUACUGCACAAGUUGCAACUCAGCAAGAUGCAUAUCUAUCGAGGUGCUUUAACAUAUGGGAGAAACGUAAAGACAAUCCAGAAGGCCCUCGUAAAUUCAGAAGUGGCGGCGGCCAUGAAGUUCAUCCUUUUCGGAAAUAUGGUGUAUAAGAAGUUCGAGAAAGAUUUUCUACUUCUUCCAAGGUAC